rnacentral:lncRNA from 1 species
UCUGUCUUUCCAUUAGUUUUUCUAUAGUAAUUCAUAAAAGGAGAAUAUUUACCAGAUAUUCUGAGUACUACUUGAAUAUAAUCACUUUCUCUGUUUUGAACAGAAGGCCUAUAAAGUGUGCUUGUACACUUCUAUGGAAGACUUAAACUGAAAGAAUCAUUUUUUUCCUUAUUUGCAUAGCCUGCUGAAGAUGGACCUCAGUGUACAUAUGUUGAAGACAAUAAAAUUAUCAUUAUCCAGGCAAUGCCUCCUAUCCAGAGGAAAAUCUUCAUGCUGGUAGCUGAGUUUCCAUGGGUUCUUGAUGGUUAUUAUCUACUCCUCCAAUGUGGUUAAAGAUCCAGCUCUAUUUUUAGAGGUAAG